CUGAUGUUAUGCGAGGUUUGCUUGAUCUUGUUACCUUGUAUUGUAAGUGUAACAAUUUGGAUUCAGUUCAGGCAAUGAAAGAAAUACAUUUAUAUAGAGAUCGGAAGGAAAGUUUUGAUAGACAAGAAGUUAUUCCAGCUGCAUCUGAACUUAAGCCUGAUGAAUGGUGGAGGUUAUUCGGAGGCUCUGCUCCAUGUCUACAAAAGAUAGUUGUUCGCAUUCUUAGCCAAGCAUCUGCUUCUUCUGGGUGUGAGAGAAAUUGGAGCCUUUUUGACCAGAUUCAUACAAAAAGAAGAAAUAGAUUGGAGCAUGAUAGACUGAAUGACAUUGUUUAUGUUACCUAUAAUUUGCGUCUUAAAUCCAGGUAAUAUAUGUUACAUGAAAUACUAUAUUGUUUCAUUUGUAAUCUUUAUCAUAAUAAAUUUGUAAAUUAUUAAAUCUCCAUAUAUUGUAUUUAACUUUUUAGGAAGGAAAAGGAAAAAAGAAAGCAAAAGACACAGCAUGAUCCAAUUGAUUAUGAAAGUAUCAGUCAAGUUGACUUCUGGGUGACUGAAGAGGUUGUAGAGAAAGAGCCUGAUCUUCCUAGUAAUGUGGAUGACUUAUUGCGUGAAAUUGAUGCUGAUUUAUAUCAAAGUGGCGGUGGUAGUAGUGGUCUUUAUGCUGCAUCUCUUUCUUCUGCUGAUCAGGGUGGGAAUGAAGGUGAAGAUCAUCCCACCGAAGCAGAUUUGCAACAAGUUCUUGCGGAUUUUGAUUAUUGAUAAACCAUGAUGUUGGGAUUUAAUAUUUAGAUAUGCUUUUAUUACUAUUUAACUUUUGAGUUUGGAUUUUGAUAAGAUCAUAUGUAUUUGGUUGAUGA